CUAAGGAGAGGUCUCUUCGACGUCGGCGUUGUCUGAGUUCGCAGAUCGUCUCAUCACCGUCCAAAUCUGACUUUCUUGUUGUCAUGCCAUUCUUUUCUCAUCGUUGCCUUCUUUGGUCGCGUCGCCUCACUCCUUUGUUGCAAAUCAUUUCCUUGCUAUCCAGAUCUGCCAUUGCUGCUUGUCGCGUA